CUUUUACAAUGAAGAGUUUGAUCCUGGCUCAGGAUGAACGCUAGCUACAGGCUUAACACAUGCAAGUCGAGGGGCAUCAGGAAGAAAGCUUGCUUUCUUUGCUGGCGACCGGCGCACGGGUGAGUAACACGUAUCCAACCUGCCCUUUACUCGGGGAUAGCCUUUCGAAAGAAAGAUUAAUACCCGAUGGGAUAAUCAUUCCGCAUGGUUUGAUUAUUAAAGGAUUCCGGUAAAGGAUGGGGAUGCGUUCCAUUAGGUUGUUGGUGAGGUAACGGCCCACCAAGCCUUCGAUGGAUAGGGGUUCUGAGAGGAAGGUCCCCCACAUUGGAACUGAGACACGGUCCAAACUCCUACGGGAGGCAGCAGUGAGGAAUAUUGGUCAAUGGGCGCGAGCCUGAACCAGCCAAGUAGCGUGAAGGAUGACUGCCCUAUGGGUUGUAAACUUCUUUUAUAUUAGAAUAAAGUGCAGUAUGUAUACUGUUUUGUAUGUAUAAUAUGAAUAAGGAUCGGCUAACUCCGUGCCAGCAGCCGCGGUAAUACGGAGGAUCCGAGCGUUAUCCGGAUUUAUUGGGUUUAAAGGGAGCGUAGGUGGACUGGUAAGUCAGUUGUGAAAGUUUGCGGCUCAACCGUAAAAUUGCAGUUGAUACUGUCAGUCUUGAGUACAGUAGAGGUGGGCGGAAUUCGUGGUGUAGCGGUGAAAUGCUUAGAUAUCACGAAGAACUCCGAUUGCGAAGGCAGCUCACUGGACUGCAACUGACACUGAUGCUCGAAAGUGUGGGUAUCAAACAGGAUUAGAUACCCUGGUAGUCCACACAGUAAACGAUGAAUACUCGCUGUUUGCGAUAUACAGUAAGCGGCCAAGCGAAAGCAUUAAGUAUUCCACCUGGGGAGUACGCCGGCAACGGUGAAACUCAAAGGAAUUGACGGGGGCCCGCACAAGCGGAGGAACAUGUGGUUUAAUUCGAUGAUACGCGAGGAACCUUACCCGGGCUUAAAUUGCAGUGGAAUGAUGUGGAAACAUGUCAGUGAGCAAUCACCGCUGUGAAGGUGCUGCAUGGUUGUCGUCAGCUCGUGCCGUGAGGUGUCGGCUUAAGUGCCAUAACGAGCGCAACCCUUAUCUUCAGUUACUAACAGGUCAUGCUGAGGACUCUGGAGAGACUGCCGUCGUAAGAUGUGAGGAAGGUGGGGAUGACGUCAAAUCAGCACGGCCCUUACGUCCGGGGCUACACACGUGUUACAAUGGGGGGUACAGAAGGCAGCUACCUGGUGACAGGAUGCUAAUCCCAAAAGCCUCUCUCAGUUCGGAUCGAAGUCUGCAACCCGACUUCGUGAAGCUGGAUUCGCUAGUAAUCGCGCAUCAGCCACGGCGCGGUGAAUACGUUCCCGGGCCUUGUACACACCGCCCGUCAAGCCAUGGGAGCCGGGGGUACCUGAAGUACGUAACCGCAAGGAGCGUCCUAGGGUAAAACUGGUGACUGGGGCUAAGUCGUAACAAGGUAGCCGUACCGGAAGGUGCGGCUGGAACACCUCCUUUCUGGAG
rnacentral:rRNA from 1 species